UACGUAGGGACCAAGCGUUGUUCGGAUUUACUGGGCGUAAAGGGCGCGUAGGCGGCUUAACAAGUCACUUGUGAAAUCUCCGGGCUUAACUCGGAACGGCCAAGUGAAACUGUCAAGCUAGAGUGCAGAAGGGGCAAUCGGAAUUCUUGGUGUAGCGGUGAAAUGCGUAGAUAUCAGGAGGAACACCAAUGGCGAAGGCAGCUCGCUGGAACGGUACUGACGCUGAGGCGCGAAAGCGUGGGGAGCGAACAGG
rnacentral:rRNA from 1 species